rnacentral:rRNA from 1 species
CAGCGCCACGAGUGGUAACCGCGAUUAUUGGGCCUAAAGCGUCCGUAGCAGGUUUAGCAAAUCUUUUGUGAAAUUGUGCGGCUUAACCGUACAACGUGCAAGAGACACUACUAAACUCGAGACCGGGAGGAGUCAGAAGUAUUCCAGGGGGAGCGGUAAAAUGUUAUAAUCCCUGGAGGACUACCUAUGGCGAAGGCAUCUGACUAGAACGGAUCUGACUGUGAGGGACGAAAGCCAGGGGAGCGAACCGGAUUAGAUACCCGUGUAGUCC